rnacentral:lncRNA from 13 species
AACCUUCUGGGCACCAACCCCCUCAACCACCCCUACCCACCGCGGGCAGCGCCAGCCUCCUGGCCCUCUCCUCUGCCCCCCUACCCACCGCAGGCAGCAGCAGCCUCCUAGCCCUCUCCUCCGCUCUCGCUGCCCAUCAGCUGCCCCUAAAGGAGGACAAAAAACACAAGGACAACACCGACAGAGAAAGAGACUCAGUCAAGAGUCCGUCUGUGUCCCCCUCCUCCAGUUUCCGAGCAGUAGAGAAGCACAGGAGUUCAGGUGACUCCUCAGACAGCAAGAAACAGAAAAUGUCUGAAAAGGAGCUGAGCGCCACACGUUACGUGAGUGAGGCAAAUUUCAAACCAAAACCCAGAGGAUGCACAUGUUUAUUUCAAAAGCACAGAGCUAACACAGCUGAUUCAACUAACCAAACUCUUGCUGAUUACUCGAUUACGUCAGUCAGGCUUGUCAGUGCCAGGAUGUUCUGAUGGCGCCCUGGUAUAGGGUAUCUAACUAUG